rnacentral:rRNA from 1 species
UAUGCCUACGGGACGCAGCAGUGGGGAAUAUUGCACAAUGGGGGGAACCCUGAUGCAGCGACGCCGCGUGAGUGAAGAAGUAUUUCGGUAUGUAAAGCUCUAUCAGCAGGGAAGAAAAUGACGGUACCUGACUAAGAAGCCCCGGCUAACUACGUGCCAGCAGCCGCGGUACUACGUAGGGGGCAAGCGUUAUCCGGAUUUACUGGGUGUAAAGGGAGCGUAGACGGCGAUGCAAGUCAGAAGUGAAAGCCCGCGGCUCAACUGCGGGACUGCUUUUGCAACUGUAUAGCUUGAGUGCAGGAGAG